rnacentral:rRNA from 1 species
CUACGGGGGGCAGCAGUGAGGAAUAUUGCACAAUGGGGGAAACCCUGAUGCAGCAACGCCGCGUGGAGGAUGACGCAUUUCGGUGUGUAAACUCCUUUUAUGAGUCAAGAAAAUGACGGUAGCUCAUGAAUAAGCACCGGCUAACUCCGUGCCAGCAGCCGCGGUAAUACGGAGGGUGCAAGCGUUACUCGGAAUCACUGGGCGUAAAGGACGCGUAGGCGGGUUGGAAAGUCAGGUGUGAAAUCCUACAGCUUAACUGUAGAACUGCACUUGAAACUUCUAACCUAGAGUAUGGGAGGGGGAGAUGGAAUUAGUGGUGUAGGGGUAAAAUCCGUAGAUAUCACUAGGAAUACCGAAAGCGAAGGCGAUCUCCUGGAACAUUACUGACGCUAAGGCGUGAAAGCGUGGGGAGCAAACGGGAUUAGAUACCCUAGUAGUC